GCCCGGCUAGCUCAGUUGGCAGCACAUGGGACUCUUGAUCUCAAAAUCGUGGGUUUGAGCCCCACGCUGGGUG
rnacentral:tRNA from 1 species